AGUGAACGCUGGCGGUAGGCCUAACACAUGCAAGUCGAACGGCAGCACAGUAAGAGCUCGCUCUUACGGGUGGCGAGUGGCGGACGGGUGAGGCAUACAUCGGAAUCUACUUUUUCGUGGGUGAUAACGGAGGGAAACUUACGCUAAUACCGCAUAUGUCCUACGGGUGAAAGCAGUGGAUCUUCGGACCUUUCGCGAUUGUAUGAGCCGAUUCCGGAGUAGCUAGUUGGCGAGGUAAAGGCCCACCAAGGCGACGAUCCGUAGCGUGUCUGAGAGGAUGAUCGGCCACACUGGAACUGAGACACGGUCCAGACUCCUACGGGAGGCAGCAGUGGGGAAUAUUGGGCAAUGGGCGAAAGCCUGAUCCAGCAAUACCGCGUGGGUGAAGAAGGCCUUCGGGUUGUAAAGCCCUUUUAUUGGGAAAGAAAAGAAGCAGGUUAAUACCCCGCUGUUCUGACGGUACCCAAAGAAUAAGCACCGGCUAACUUCGUG
rnacentral:rRNA from 1 species